CUGCAGCUCUAACUGGAUCUACCCUGAACCUGAACUCACCUGGUCCACCACACCUCCAUCCAAAGAGACCUUCAAGAACACAACCACAGUCCAGCAGACUGAACAGCAGCUUUACAACAUCAGCAGUUCUCUGAUACUUUCAGACAGUGACAGUGAUCUGGUCUACAGCUGCACCAUCAGCACUGGAACAAACAAGAGGCGACUCGAUUUAAACCAACUUCUAUCAUUGUGUCCAAAGCUGAAUCAACAAUCUCCUGCUGUGACUCAAACACUCCUCUAACAAACUUCAGUCUCACCUGGAGAUUCAACCACAGUCAGAUCAUGGUGAACUGGACCAGGACUGACGUCUCCUACACAGUGUCAGAGGAGUGGAGGCAGCAGGUGAAGGAUGUAUCAGAGUCAGGCAGCCUCACACUACAGGACCUGUCUUCAAACCAGGAGGGAAUAUACACGUGUGAACUUAGGGAUGAGGAGGAGACGUACGUAACAAACAUCUUUCUGAGGAUAAAACGAGAUGCUUGUCCUAUAGUGCUCAUAUGUGUGGUGGUGGUUGGAGGAGUGAUACCUCUGAUAGCUGUGGUGGUGACCUCUCUGGUGGUCAGAAAAAGAAGAAAAACGAAAGGAAAAGCAAAAGCGCUGGCUCAUGAACAGAUUGCUUUGGCGCAAGAACACACACACGGCUUAACAUAAACCGUGACUGCAUCAAAUAAACAUCGGGAGAAGAAUUUAAACAGAGAACUGCAGAUGAAUAGUAUCUUCUGUCUUUCAGUAACUGAGCUGAAGUAUCUCUUGUAAUAACAAUGUUUUGGCUGAAGACCUUCUACUCACCAAAUGGACUGGAAAGAUGGGAAAACACUUUUAAAGCUUGGUUCAAGUGGAACUGACGUUGAGAUGAAUGCAGAGGCCACUCUGAGUUGCAGGAGAAUGAAAUGGUGACUUUGUUUUCUGCUAAUUGUAACAACAGCAUCUGGACAGAGGUAUUAGUACUACACCCGGUCCUACAAAGUACUUUUAAAAACUGCUUUUUAAUCCACACGAUUUCCUGCAUCACGUUGAUCAAGUUUCAUUUUAUUUUAUUUUACUUUUUUUUUUUCACACACACACUUUUAUUGUGAAAUAUCUGGGAGAGAAAUAUUCAGUCACUAGCCACACUAACGUUGCUGUGUGUUUUUAAAACGUGUGAAUGUAAUUUAUUUGAUGUGUGUAAAUCAUGUGAAUGAAGGAGUUUUGUGUUGUUGUUGUUGUUGUUUUGUUCCUUUUUUAAAUCAUGUAAUGGACUACUGGAUGACACUGGACACUGAAUCUGUACGCAGGUAAAAACACUACUGAUUUAUAAUGAAUGUUCAUAAUGAAAUUAUUAAUUUGUGUUUGUAUAUUUUUGAAUAUCUGCAUUUCACAUGUGUUUAUACUGUAAACAUUUCAGUAUUUUAGACCUAUUUGCAAAAUAUAUUAAAAAAUAUCUAUAGAA